rnacentral:rRNA from 1 species
GUGCCAGCAGCCGCGGUAAUACCGGCAGCUCGAGUGAUGUCCAAUUUUAUUGGGCCUAAAGCGUCCGUAGCUGGCCAGCCAAGUUCGUCGGGAAAUCCACCUGCCCAACAGGUGGGCGUCCGGCGAAAACUGUCUGGCUUGGAACCGGAAGGCUCAGAGGGUACGUCCGGGGUAGGAGUGAAAUCCUGUAAUCCCGGACGGACCACCGAUGGCGAAAGCACUCUGAGAAGACGGAUUCGACAGUGAGGGACGAAAGCUAGGGUCUCGAACCGGAUUAGAAACCCCUGUAGUCC